UGUCUAGCAACUCCUAUCCCUACCUCCUCGUGACACCGGCCGGAAACUAUGAGCAACCUUAGAUCGGGUAACCAACUCCGGUGGGAACUUUGGUCAUAGGCUGACAGGGAAGG
rnacentral:ribozyme from 1 species